CAGUCGCCGCGGGUAAUACGUAGGGUGCAAGCGUUAAUCGGAAUUACUGGGCGUAAAGCGUGCGCAGGCGGUUAUAUAAGACAGAUGUGAAAUCCCCGGGCUCAACCUGGGAACUGCAUUUGUGACUGUAUAGCUAGAGUACGGCAGAGGGGGAUGGAAUUCCGCGUGUAGCAGUGAAAUGCGUAGAUAUGCGGAGGAACACCGAUGGCGAAGGCAAUCCCCUGGGCCUGUACUGACGCUGAGGUACGAAAGCAUGGGGAGCAAACAGGAUUAGAUACCCCAGUAGUCCCUGUCUCUUAUA
rnacentral:rRNA from 1 species